rnacentral:lncRNA from 1 species
UAAAUGAUUGUGAUGGUGAAGAUAUAUAAAUAAAACUUAGUUCUCAUUGUUCCUUAUAUUGCUAUCUCUUCUCUUCUUUGAUCUUUGGUUUGGGAGAACAUGGGCUAUCUUUUUCUCUCUUUUUUUUCAGGUGCGUAAUAGAUACCCCUAAUUCUACUGUCGGACACUUGUCCAUUUUUUCCGCUCAAGUGGGCAUCUUUGUACCCCUAAUUCUACUUCGGACACUUGUCAAUUUUUACCUAUCGUCUCACUCUUUUUCUUUCUUUUCCGAGGUUCCGGGCACUUGCCCCUUUUUAUUUCCUCGCAUAUUUUUUUGCAUAACCCAUGCCUCUUCUGCAUUGAAUGUUUUUAGAGAGAGAGAGAAUAACAAUGCUUGGGACAGUGAGUGAUAAUAUUUUUUAGCAAUUUUAAUGAUUGAUGAUGAAUGCUGUGGUAGAUGUGUGCAAGUGAAUAUCUUAAUUUAACCACAUGAAAAGCUCCUAAGGGUCUACACAGCCCGAUCAAACUCAAUGUAAAUAUAGUAAAAGAUGUUAUAGGAAGUAUGGCUGUGGUAGGUAGUUUUGUUAUGCUAGGAACUCAUCAUGUGAUUUGUAAGUUUUCAAAAUAAAUCUCCAGAACUUAGUGUAGUAGGAACAAGAUAAACAGUAGCUCAACUUUAUAUCAUGUCUUUCUCUUACCUAGACUUUAGUUUUAUGCUUCCCAAAGAUAGUAAUUUUAGUUUUAGUAAUUCCUGGAAGAACUCUAAUAUAAAAGCUAGGUACUUGUAAGUAAGCAAACAGAGCAACUGUUCAUCAUUUCCAUCAUGCAUAUUUUUGGACUUUUUAUUUUUUCUAGAGAUUAAACUUGGC